UAUUAAAACACCGGUUCCCGUGUGAUCAGCGAAGUUAAGCAAGGCCGAGCCUGGUUUGUAACUAGUGGGAUGAACGCUUUAGAAUAGCAGGUGCUGUAAG